AAGGGUGCGUAACACGUGGGCAAUCUGCCGAAGAGUGGGGGAUAGCUCGCCGAAAGGCGAAUUAAUACCGCAUGUGGCUUGUGAAGUCAUCUUCACUGGGCCAAAGCCGGGGCAACCUGGCGCUCUUUGAUGAGCCCGCGGCCUAUCAGCUAGUUGGUGAGGUAACGGCUCACCAAGGCUAUGACGGGUAGCUGGUCUGAGAGGACGACCGGCCACACUGGAACUGAGACACGGUCCAGACUCCUACGGGAGGCAGCAGUGGGGAAUAUUGCGCAAUGGGCGAAAGCCUGACGCAGCGACGCCGCGUGGGGGAUGAAGCUUCUCGGAGUGUAAACCCCUUUCGACCCGGACGAAUGACCCGCAAGGGUUUGACGGUACGGGUAUAAGAAGCCCCGGCUAACUACGUGCCAGCAGCCGCGG
rnacentral:rRNA from 1 species